rnacentral:rRNA from 1 species
UACGAAGGGUGCAAGCGUUACUCGGAAUUACUGGGCGUAAAGCGUGCGUAGGUGGUUUGUUAAGUCUGAUGUGAAAGCCCUGGGCUCAACCUGGGAAUUGCAUUGGAUACUGGCAGGCUAGAGUGCGGUAGAGGGUAGUGGAAUCCCCGGUGUAGCAGUGAAAUGCGUAGAGAUCGGGAGGAACACCAGUGGCGAAGGCGACUACCUGGACCAGCACUGACACUGAGGCACGAAAGCGUGGGGAGCAAACAGG